rnacentral:lncRNA from 1 species
GCGGGAGAGCCGAACAGUAGAAAAACAAAUCGUACCUCCCCUACGCCUUCUUCUAAAGACACCCCAUCGAUACACUGCUUGAACAGAGAAACUGAUACAAAGACCCCUAGCACCGAAGAGAAAAUCGGCGAAUGCCCAAAAUAAAAAUCGCCUCUGCCAUCUCCCUAACUAGAUCGAACCUGUCAGAACUCUGUUCCUCUGGUUUUGGGGUUUAAUUCCCUUUGAUUUUUAACUCGGAUUGGUUCUCUAUUAAAGCUGGUCAAUUGAGAGUUCAAUGGUUCGGAAUUGUGGCUCGCAAACUCAAAUGACUUUGAACGCGGUUUCAGAUUCGAUUGUAGUUAUGGUUUGUUGACUUCCUUGUAAUUGUCAGAAUUUUAUUUAAAUCAAAGGCCAAUUCUAGCUCAUUUCCAUCGUAUGAGGUCUGGGUUCAGUCGUGGAGGUACGUCGAGGUUGUUUAGAGGUCGCCGCUGCCCGUUCGAGGCUCAGUUGCCUGUUCGAGGUUGAGAUUCCGGUCCAGAUGCCUAGUCUAUAGCUCGCUCGAGUGCUUUGCUGUCCUAGAGCUGUAUUUGCAUUGUAUUUGCUCCAGAAUUUCAAUAAUUAGAAGGUCAGUUCUUCCAUUUCUUCACUGAAUUUUAUUCAUGUCCUGUUACUAGCGGGUAUAAAAAAUAUACAUCGUUGAUUCAUAGCAUUCAAGUUUUCCUUUUAUUGAUUUCUGUCUCGAUUGAUCUGGUUUGCUCCUUUUCUCAAAAUUGAAUUAAGUCAUGUGAAUUUCAAGCUAUUUGAGUUCUAAAAUGGUUCGUCAUGCCUUGUUGCGGCAGAUUUAAGCUUAGACUUUGACUACACUUGAUGGGAAGAAAAAGUAUUCCUCUGCGGUAUCGUGUCUGUGUUGAUUCUUUGUGUUAGAAUGUUUUGCUUUCUUUAUUAUGAAAAGAGAAAACAGAAAUGCUAGCUUUGGCUCAAUUAUUUUGCUAAGGAUAUUGACAGUUUGGCAAAUGUUGAACUUGAGUUGGAAUUUCAUGUGAACUCCUUUUUUGGAAUUUGAGACUAUUGUUUAUUUCGUUCUAGCUUAACGUUAAUUGUUUGCGUGGU